rnacentral:misc_RNA from 1 species
CACGCAUAUACCCAUGCACACACUCUACAGGACCUGAGGUCACGUUGUCGAUUUCUUUCCGUGGCAGUUACUCAUUCAAGCACGACAACGUACAAUAUCGCUAUUUACUGUUCAUUUUAUUUGUGAAAGCCGGCAUCGCUUGCUCUUGCAGUAUAUGUAAUCACACGGAGAGCAGCAAUAUUUCGUGCUUAAACGGGAUUGAUUUUUCACGUCUGCUGUUUAACUCGACGAAGUUGAGCCUUUAUAAUCAGGAGUCAGUUUGAUAUUGCCAGUGAAAAUGAGCGCCAGGCUGUUCGAAGAAGCUGACCACGCCGAAUGCUACCAGAAAAGUCGUCCGGAUUGGCCGCAGGAAAUCAUCCAGACUUGCUUGUCCUUUCUUCGCGAAAAGAGGACUGGGCCGUUUGAACUGGCGGUUGAUGUCGCGUGCGGCUCAGGGCAAAGCACACGACCAUUGGCACCUCAUUUUGCCAAAGUAAUCGGAACGGACAUCAGCGAGGAACAACUCGGAGCUGCCAAACGUGUUAGUAAUCCGCCAAAUGUGGAAUACAGAAUUGGAAGAGGUGAGUGCAUCCCUGUAGCAGACAACUCGGCAGACCUUGUUACGUGUGCCACAGCUGUUCACUGGCUUGAUGUUGAUGAAUUCUUUCGGGAAGUCGACCGGGUCCUGAAACCUCUCGGAUGUGUCUUCAUUUACAGCUAUCACAUCAUUUAUCCCUAUUGGGAGGGGGAGGAUUCAAUGAACCAAGAACUGGAGAAGCUUGUGCGUGAGGUGUUCAUGAACAUAUUGGUCCCGCAUUUCAACGAUCGCAUACAUCUGGCUUUAAACAAUCUGACUGACAUUCGUAUUCCGUAUGCAGAGAAUAUAAGGAUGAGAAAAUCUUAAAUCAUCAAUAUGCCGGGAGUUGAUAUGAAUGUGUUCUACCACGGAACUGCAUGAAACGUCACGAUACAAAGUUUUAGCAACAAAAGACACCAGUAUAUCGUCCAGAUGGGACUGGAGAGAAUACCAGUUCAACUGUUUAGGCCUAAGUCGAUCAAGGAAUGAAGCGCUCGAGUUCCGACAGGAAUCUUCGGUUGAGUCCUACAUGGGAUAUCUCAAGUCCUUAUCCGGCUACCGGGCGUAUC